rnacentral:lncRNA from 1 species
GGCCUCUGCCAGCAGAACCCCACUGGCCAGGCGUGAGCUGUCCUCUGAAAUGCCCAGAGGCCAAAAUGUUCUUUGGAGGAUCUUAUUCAGCUGAACUGCAAUGCUGUCUCCACCUCCCUAGCUGCUGGGAUUAUACAGGCGUGGGCCACCACAUCUGGCUUCAAUGUUGUCAGCCCUGGGUGGCGUCAGGGAUGCCAGGAACAGGAGAACCAGAAGAGGCUGUUGACAUGCUCAGGGAGAGAGCAAGAACUGGUUAAAGCCUCAGACACCAGCCUGUCUGACCACAGAGCCUAAGAUGCGUGAAGACAGAGAUUCGAUCAAAUGUGGCUUCCAGCUGUAUCCGCAGGUCUCAAGACUGACACCCUGUGAAUACUAGCGAAAGAAACAGAUACCUGGAUGCCACCACUCUUUGGCUCAGUGACUGUCAGUGUCUCCCGGCUGUAGUCAAGGUAUUAAACCUAGGCUUCUUGCUCUGCCCUGGGAGGGAAGUGACUGUCACUCACAGAACAAGCAGGGACACAUUAUGCAGGUCAAAGGGGAUGCUGCAAACCAGUAUCUUAGAACAACAAGAACACAACAGACUUUUCUUUUUCAAACAGGGAGGCAUAGCUGCCACACUUGUCCGAAGCCCAGGGAACGGUGUCUGUCUUUCUCUCUGGCUUCCUUCUCCGACCCACUCCCUCUCUGAGCCAUCUGCAGUUUCGCCCUUCAACCCAGAGAAGUCCUUUGAGUAGCUGGAGCUAGCUCGUUAUUGUGGCCCCACAUUGAACACUACCUGCCCAAGAGCCCUUCCCUGACCACACAUUCCCACUCAAACCACCUCCAUCUCAAAGUUGUGACUUGUGCCCCACCCCGCCCCCGCCCCCUUGCUCUCAGCUCUGUGUCUGAGAUCCCUUCUUUGGCGCUGGCAGGCAGGAUGCAUUGAAUUCCCCCAGGCACCUGUCAGCUUCUAGGGAGGUGUUUCUGAGGGUAAACUGACUCUAUCUGGGGAGGUACAGGGAGCAGGGAAGGAAAGACGACUGACUGUGCCUACGAAGUCACCCCAGAAAUCAGAAUUACUUUCUCCUCAGUCCCCCAGUUGUUUCAUCUGAGAGGACUCUGGGGGCCGAGUCUGAAUAAAGAUUACAAACCACCUUCCCC